CUACAAUCCUGAUGCGUCAACUCCCUGGGGGUGCGACAAUCCUAGCAACACAACAUCCUAGCAACUGCACUAGAGCUGCACCACCUCUGCACUCAAGGGACAAAGACACCCGGGCUUCACAGGUACAGCAAGUUGUACAUGAAGAAGUCCAGGACCUGGAGGUUGUCUGCCAUGGACCAGAGCACUGAGGACCAUACGAUCCCCGUCAUCAGCUAGAGAAGCAGGUCAGCAGAGGACCAGUUCUCUGUCCCAAUUCAGGGUCUGCCGCCUUCGGAGGGUGCCUGUCGGCUGGUUGCGUCACAGGAUCGCGACUCGGCUUUCCCAAUUCGUCGGCUCCUUCAAAUGCGGCCGACAUAUGCGCCCUUCCAGCCCCGCGCAGUGAAGGAAACACCAUUGGGUGGAUCCGGACUUCCGGCAAAAUGGCGAGCAGGGCAAACAGAAAGUUUUAAGCUCCGUUCGUCUGGUCCAAAAUGUUGACCUAAACUCUGUCCUUAACUCAAAAAUCUGCUCAAGACAACCAAAAUACCCCAAAUAAAUGAUGUCGUCCGCCAACGAUAAAGAUUUCCCUCCACUUGGCGCAGCUAGCGCUAACAAUUUAGCUUUCCAUAGCUAUGCUGCUAGCGCUGCUCCUACCCCGAUGGAGACAAACAAACCUGGAAACCCGAGCGUAAGACGCCCACUGAAUACCACUCCAACUAAACUCCCUCCAGCCAAGAAGAUGGCCACAGAUACUGAACCCUCCCCUGCUGAUGUUUUAGCUGCAAUAAAAAGUCUGGAUAACAAGGUGGAAGAUUUUGGGAAAUAACUUAAAGAAAGCUCUGAAAUGUUUGCCAGCAUCGUACAAUGGGUGGAUAUGAACUCCGUUGGAAUCUCCGAAUGCAGAUCCAAAAUGGAAAUGAUGGAAAUAGAACAUUCAGACCUGAAAAAAAGAAAAUGCCUAACUAAGAGAAAAAGUGGAAAGAUACAAACGCCGCUGGAUGUUGACAUUCUCUGGUCUCAAGGAAGAAGACGGAGAAAACAUCAGAGAAAAAAAUGAAAAGCUGCUCCUAAAAACCCUUUCCACAAUGGAAAGAGAAUAUUGAAAAUGUCGUUGAUUCGGUACAUUGCAUUGGGAGGAGAGAAGAGGGACGCAGUCACCAGGUCAUCAUGGAGUUUGUGAGAAGGCUUCAUCGGGUUGCAGUUUGGAAAACAACCAAAAACUCUUCCGUAUGUAAGGAACAAGGUGUUCACUUCACACAGGAUUUCACCAAGGAGGAUCGGCAGACCAGGGAGCAACUCUGGCCAAAAGUCAAGCAGGCCAGGCCUCUGGGUAAAGAAGCAUUUUACAGAGGCCACGUCGCAGUAAUCGAUCGAUGCAUAGUUAAGGCCUAAAGUCUGCUCUUCUCCUAAUUCAGAUGAGGGCCUGCAACACUCGCAGGUUUUUUUUUGAGGUCUAAGAGACAAUCUGAAAAGAAAGGGCCAUGUUUCUUUACUGUAAAAGUAAAAAAACACAAUGUCUAUUUCUCCAAGAAACACACUCCAAUGAAUCUGAUGAAUUUUUUUUGUAAACACAGUGGGGAGAUAAAAUUCUUUUCACAUGGUAUAACUAGAUCCGCAGGAGUCGCAAUUCUGUUUAAUAACUGUCCGGGAAAAGUUGCAUUGACUAAAUCCAGUAAUGAUGGUCACUGGAUUCUUUCUGUAUUACAUAUAGAUGACUCCUCACUAAUUCUAGGAAAUGUUUAUGGUUACUGUAACACAGUGCAAAACAGAAACCUUCUUGAAGUUAUCAAAGAUACUAUUGUUCAACUCAA